UAUCAUCUCUGACCUCUGAAGAAAAAACUACUUCACUCUACAUCUUUAACACUCCUAUGUAUGCAGUUACAAAGCACGUGGAACCUAUUGCCUGGUUCAAGAUUGUGUAGUGGAGAUAACGUCGCAGGAAGGUUACCAAAUGACCUUUUAUCCCACCGGCUGGGACUAGCGGUUAUAAAGAGAAGGGAAGGAAAAGGGAGGGGAAAGCCAAUGGUGAAAAGGGAACGAGAAUGCCGCAUCUCUUAAACUGCUUCCUGCUGUCUAGGGGCAUAGUCAAUUUCAGGGCAUAGCUGGCUUUCACCAUCAGGAUCCACGUGAUAAUCUAUGGACAGGGGCUCUUCUUUGGGCAGCGGCUGCUAAUCCUGUAACAGGAGCUGAUUAAUAGUUCAGUUAGAAAUUUUUUGUAUUUGCCAUUGAAGGAAUGUAGAAACAAGAUUAAUGAGGCAGAGAUCAAAUAACACCAGGAAGAUGACUAGGAAAGGUGUUAUGAAAGGGAGUAUCCACUUCCAAAUAGGAUUUUCCUAAGUCCCAGAACUGGAGGUCUCACAGUCUCUGAAGUUCUUUAUGUCUGACUGUAGCUCCUGGAUUUUAUUUCUCACUAUCCCAGAUUGGUUGACGUAGAAACAGCAUUCUUCUUGGAGAAACAGGCAAAGACUACCUUCUUUAGCUGUCAGGACAUCUAGCCCCCGACGGUUUUGAAACACCACAGCUGCCAAAGAAUCAGACUCUUCCUGGAUAGUUCUGGCCCCUUCAUGUAAAAAGGAGCUGCCAUCUGUAUACCAGGUGUAGAUGGCCUGAAGCAAUGUGCCCUCCUUUAUGUGUGAAGGAUGAGGUAAUAGUUCCUCUGAAGUUUCAGUGCAGGAGUGAGAUCGGGAGUGGUCAGUAUUUGGUCGAGGAAGAUUGAAAAUAUUAAGAGGCAGAUAUGAUUGGAAAGUACAUAGAGGGAAAAAGAACGAGUCAGGGCAGGAAGAUGUGAACAACUUUGAGCAGAGAAUCGAUGCAAAAGCAAGAAAAAUUUUAUUGUUCCAGCAUGCUGGUAUUGCCCUGCACAUAAAGGAGAGUGAGAGAACAGCCCAUUUGGGAACCCUUACCUGUUUGUGUGGGAUAAGAGAGGCAAGGUUGCCUACUCCCAUUGGCCAGUCACAGGUAUGCAAAGAAGACUUCAGCCUCAGGGAACCAAAACAACCAACACUGGACAUGGGAACCCCAGUGAACUGUGCUAUCUGCUUGUGUUUAAUGUCUACUUACCUGGAUCUUCACCACCUGGGCCCUGGCCUGUUCAUCUCACCUCCCAACCAAACCAAACAUGCUCCUUUGAGCUUGUACCCUCAAAAUACUUGGUGUUCUCCCAAAUCCCGUUUAGUCCAACAGCAAGAGUCCUGAUAGGAACUCAUGAAGGAGAGAGAUAGACACCACAGAGCCCAGCUCCACUCUGGGAAAUCACACUCCUUAACCUUGACUCUGAAUCUCACUGGAACCCACUGUGUGGGGCUUUUAUCUCCCAAAGGUGUCUUCUGCCUCCACUACCUUGUUAGCCACUUUAAUAAAUAUUUUCUGCAAGGCAAAUACAAGGGCAAAAUCUCUUGCCUUUGUUCUAAGUGCCUGAUACCUAACAAGUACCCAUUAAAUUAAAAGUAGAACUAUAAGACAUAUAUGAGACAAUAUAUCCAGUCCAAAAGGUCUAAAAAUUGACUUACUGCUUUAUAUAAACCACCAAUAUUCUACAUUGCUGACUGGUAGAGGCCAUUAAUUAUUCUGUAAACAACACACCACAAUAUUAUUUUCGAGCUAUUUCAUCAGGACCUGAGAAAGCUUAGCCCUCAGAAGUGCUUAUAGUGAGACCACACAAUGACAUGCAACAUCACUCAGACUCGCCCAAACCCACCAGCUGGACGAGGAACCACGGGACGUUAGAAUCAGAGUAACUUUGGCCAACAAUCUGAGACACUUGGGAGAAAAUUCAUUCUAAAUCUAACAGCUUCCUGCUCUCAGGAAGGCCUCUGGGCUUCCGGUGCCUCUGGUCCUCCUUCCCGGCUCUUCUGUGGAGGCUAGCUUCCUCCAAGCUGACCCCGAGGGAGCCGCCUUCUCGUAGGUGGAAAGCGAAGAGAAGAGAGCGGGUAAGCAGUGGAGACACAUUGGCUGUACUCAGGACCUGUACCAGAGGUGGCAGGAGGACACCACCGAGCCCUGCUCCACCCAUCGCAGCCUCGAGACCCUCUGCGCGGGGAUGCUGACCCCUGCUGGCCACCUGAGAGAUUGCAGCGUGGCCGACUCCCAAGGGGCGGCAAGUGUAAGGGAAAAAGAGUGAGAGGAGCCGUAAGGGCUAUGGAGCCCAAAUCAGCAUGCCUCUAGGACCUACCUGAGCCUCCAGAAGACCCCUCAACAGGAACCGUUGUCCGAACCAACCAACUCCAAACCUAAACCUCAGAGGCCUCCUCAUGCAGACAGAUUGCUGACCUAUCUCUGGGGUAGUCAGCUGAAAUACCCCAGAGAUAUUCACGGCCUAAUCCCAGGAAGUUUCUUUAAAUGGCAAAAGAAACCUAGAGUGUGUUACCCUCGAUUAUUUAGGUAGAUUCUACAUGUAAUCAGGUAUAUCACCAAAGGGGAAGUGAGGUAAAGGAAUAUUUAUUUCACUACAGAACAGAAGGCAAGCCAUCUUGCAGGAGGACCUGAGGAGAGAAGGAGAGAGUCAGGAGAGAACAGAUUCCCUCUACAGUGCCCAGAGUCUCCCCUGACUGAUUUGGACCCAAUGAAAUUCCAAACUCUGGUGUCAAGAACUUUAAAAGAAUAAAUGUGUGCUGUUUUGA
rnacentral:lncRNA from 1 species